GGGCGCAUAGCUCAGUGGUAGAGCACUGUGUUGACAUCGCAGGGGUCGGAAGUUCGAACCUUCCUGCGCCCACCA
rnacentral:tRNA from 1 species